GGCUCGGUGGUGUAGUUGGUUAUCACGUCAGUCUAACAAGGGCAAGGCCCCUUCAUCCACUGAAGGUCCCGAGUUCAAUCCUCGGCUGAGUCA